rnacentral:misc_RNA from 1 species
GAAACAAAAAAAAAACCUUCUUAUUUUAAAAAGAAUGUUUAUUAUUUGCAUGUUAAAUUUUCUUUGCAGUUUAUGGAAUCCGAGCUGAACAAAUUAUCAGCAUGGAGAAUCAUACUGUAUAUGUGGUUCAACACAUGUCCCCCUAAUGCCUCCUGUGCUAAAUGCAACAGAAAUAGAACAUUUUGGGUUGAGAAAAGAGAAUGUAAAAUCAUUUGGUAUUGGAAUCAAGUUUCAGCCAUAAUUUCAAGGACUUUUUUU